AGUGCUGGAGAUUGAACCCAGGGCCUUGUACAUGCUAGGGCACUUGUUUUUAGACCCCUGAGCUGCCAUCUCACCAGUCUGACCACCAGGAAGGAAGAGGGCACAAUGUUGGGAGGAAGCCCAGGCCACAUGGAAAGGUUAUGCACAGGUGCUCUUCAGAACAGCCCCAGCUGAGGGCACAGCUACAGCCAGCAUGAAAUGCUAGAUAUAUUUCAUGAAGGUUGAUUGGACUUGAUCCAUCAUUUUACGGAAAAUUAAUUAUUUCAAAUACAUGCACCACUUUAUGCAACCUGCCUGAUUUGCAUUGAGGAAAAUUCAGCAGAAGUAAUUGAGGCACAAGCAAAUACUGGCACUGACUGAACUCAAUUUUCAUUCCAAAUUUCUGCAAAAUCCCAAGGCACAACAAUAUCAGAUGCAAGGGGGAAAACAAACAAAAGCAAUGUGAAAAGGGAACAUGAAGAGAGAAUAUUACAAGAAUCAGAGAACAAAGGGAUCGCAAAACUAUUUUAGUGCCAUAGAUGAGCAGUGAGGGCUUCAUUCAGGCAAGGUGGAAUAAGAUAUCAUAUGGCAUCCUGACAAUUGAUGUCUUCAUUUAAAUGUAAGAAUUUACAUUCUAAUUAGAAAGAAUUUACAUCUUAAUCAGAGGCAGCUGUAUUAUCUUGUUACUGUUUUUUUCAAAGGUAAUGAACUAAAGUACUGCUGUGCUUUUUCAACCAGAAACUAAAUAGACAGCAUCCAGUGUUAUUUUAUAGCUUACCUGCUGUAAGCUGUUAUUAAUAUUUUCAAAGAUUAAAUUCUAACUAAAAUCUUUUAAAAUGAAAAUUGUAUUUGACAUCACUAGAAUAGUAUGAUAAAGACUUAUUUAAAGUACCUAAACAAAUAAUUUUCUAACUUGUAUUUUAAAUGUACUUAUUUAUCAAACUAAUAGAAGCCUCUUAUGAUUUAUUAGAAUAAUAUUGUUUUCAUUUGGGAGGAUAUAGAAAAUCUUCUAAAGGAGAUAUGUAUUACAUUCUGGCAAAACUUGGUUAUUCUCAAGCUUAUAUUUGUUUAUGAGAGAUCAUUUACUAUAUUCAAACUUUAUUCAAAUCAUUUAAAUUAAUACAAAUUCUUUUUUCUUCCUAUGAUUCUUAACAAGGAAAGGUAACAUUUAAAACAUGCUUGUGGUUUAUGUGACUAUGCUACUGUCACAUUAAUGACACUAAAAAUGUAGUGUCACAAAUAUGCACAAUUUUCAUGGUAUUGGAAUUGCCAUAGUUAGUGAAAUUAAAGGAUAUAAUGCAUUCUGAUAAUAUUGUUCUAUUCCAGGUUAUUCAUAAUGAUGGCAACUAGACUUAGGUAUUGGCAGUUAGUGAUAUCUUUGCAAAAUCAAGCCCAUCAUUCACAUGAGAAUCAGCAUGAGCUCACUGACCCAUAGUUUAGAAGAAAUUGGGCUUGGCCUAAAAGAAAUCAAGCGGGAGAAAAUUACAAGUGUUAAUAAAAAUGUAAAAUGUCACCUUUGUCCUUAGCACUAUGCAUCUUUAGGUUAUUGAUAGUUAUUUUCAUCAGCUGCAUCAUUAAUAUAGAGGUGUAGUAUGAGCCAGUUUAUAAUUUACAGGUUUGUCAUUUAAUUCAUUAGGUAUACAAUUUUUUAUAAAGUAUAAAAGGAAAAUAAUAAAAUGAACAAAAUUGUUUCUACCAGUUUAUUAAAUAAGUGACUUAAAUAAUUAAUUCAAAAUCUUUAAAAUUAUAGAAAUAGUCUAUAUUUAUCUUUACCAUUAUACUGAUUUUCUAGAUCCAUACAUAUAAAAGAAAAACAAGUCACAUACAAAUAAUUCCAGGUAGAUUAAAAAAGAAUGAAAUUAAUUUUAUGGUGGCAUUUUACAAACCUAGGCUACUCUAAUGACAAAGAGAAGAUAAUUAUUAGUUCAUUAAUGCUUUUUCUUGUAUUCCCACUUAAGACGAUUUAUAGAGGAAAUGAUUCAGAUGGGCCCGACUGAAUUACUGGCUCUGAAAGAUGGCUUUAUAUUGCUGUCAGAAACCGUCAGCCCACUUUUGAAAGGUUUAUUUGUCUAUGGCUCUUCUGUGUAUGAUUUGUUAUGAGGGCACUUAACACCACAUAGUAUACACAGUGCCUUCAUUUUAAAAAAGUGUCCCAGAUAAGUUUUUGAUUAUCCCUGGGUUUUAUGGAAUCUGUUUGUUUUUUCAUAAAGAAUCUCUAAAAAUAAAAUAUGUUUCUUUUUUUAAUAUUUAUGUGUGUUCUAAAUGAAAUAUAACAGACUUUCAGUCAGAGUCAGAGUGUUACAUCUUCCAUCACUAGUUUCUACUUGGACCCAUGUUUACUAAAAUCACAAGUAUUCAUGUCCAAUCUAAAAGAGCACAAUAAAAUAAUAUAUAAAUUC